GGGCCUAUAGCUCAGCUGGUUAGAGCGCACCCCUGAUAAGGGUGAGGUCCGAGGUCCGAAUCCUCGUAGGCCCA
rnacentral:tRNA from 1 species